UUUUGGCCGCUAGUAAAUGUUACUUCAAAGCGCGGGGUACUUCCAGUCUGAGCAUCACUCAGACGUAUAAGCAGCAUACGAGGAUACAAUCAUUGGAAAAAAUGCAGAAUGACCCCAAAGCAGCAAUGUUUAAUGAAGAGAAGUGACUAACUUUGACUAACCUCCUGCUAGGCUGGCUAUUAUAUCCAGGGUCCCAAAUGAUGAGAUGACCUUUCCACCUUGGCCAGGACUGAAGCGUCACAGCAUGAACUGAAAACUCAUCUUCCCGCUAAACACUUCACAUCACUCUCCACUCUGCCUUCCUCCUCCACAUCUGAUAUGAACACAGCUUUACAAGAAAGGGGAGGUCCCAGUGUGGUUUCCUUCAUCCAGACAUUGAAGACAAGAGCCUGUCAAAACCUCAGCAGGAGUCCAACGGCUCUCUGUGGCCUGGUCUUGCUCCCAGCAUGGCAGGGCUGCAGCACAGAUACCACAGAGGAAUAUCAUGUCCUGAGGGAAGGGAAUCAAGCUUCUGUAGAAUAGACAACUUCCCCCAUAGGUGAGAUAAAGGGAGGAGAUGAAGAGUGUUAGGAGUGUUCUCUGCAUUUAUCACAUAUAAAAAACGUACUUGAAGUGCACGAGUAGUACUGUGGUAAUUGAAACAAAUAGAAACAAUCAAUUCCCAAUAUGUGGGACUUGCCCUAACGCAACCCUAAAAUGACUGCCAGUACAUAGGUGCAUUGACUCAUGCAUUUACCCAUUAUCUUUUAUGACCAAUAUACCACUUUGUAAAAUGUUAUGAUGGUAACAAUACUGUGUUUUUAUGAUUUAUACUGAUUGUACUGACCCAUUUGAUCAUAGAAUAGUCCAGGUUCUUAUGUUCCUAGUUUUUGCUUUGCUUUGUGCUGUGUUGCCCCUGUCGUUAGGUAACAUCCUUAAGUAAAACACAAUGAACCUGAGAUUUUUGUAAAUUAUGGUGAAUGUAUUGCCUUGUACUAAUAUUAUCACCAGGUUAGAAGGCAAUAUCUGCAUUCCUCUUUUAGCUCAGCAGCAACCAAAUUGCACAAGUACACAAAAGGUCAAGGCUCUAUAUAUGGGAAGCAGAUGCAUAAUGAAAUCACCAAAUAUUUCACUGUAAGCUCAUUGAGCCUGCAGGAGGAAAUCAGAAGGUGUGUGUAGGUGCAGUAUUUGUGUGUUUUGG